GAUGAACGCUGGCGGCGUGCCUAAUACAUGCAAGUCGAGCGAACGGACGAGAAGCUUGCUUCUCUGAUGUUAGCGGCGGACGGGUGAGUAACACGUGGAUAACCUACCUAUAAGACUGGGAUAACUUCGGGAAACCGGAGCUAAUGCCGGAUAAUAUUUUGAACCGCAUGGUUCAAAAGUGAAAGACGGUCUUGCUGUCACUUAUAGAUGGAUCCGCGCUGCAUUAGCUAGUUGGUAAGGUAACGGCUUACCAAGGCAACGAUGCAUAGCGGACCUGAGAGGGUGAUCGGCCACACUGGAACUGAGACACGGUCCAGACUCCUACGGGAGGCAGCAGUAGGGAAUCUUCCGCAAUGGGCGAAAGCCUGACGGAGCAACGCCGCGUGAGUGAUGAAGGUCUUCGGAUCGUAAAACUCUGUUAUUAGGGAAGAACAUAUGUGUAAGUAACUGUGCACAUCUUGACGGUACCUAAUCAGAAAGCCACGGCUAACUACGUG
rnacentral:rRNA from 1 species